UUUGCUGUGGCAAACAUACAUGUGGUACUUUCAAACGUGUAUGAUAAUGCUUUUAUUCCCAAAUACAUGUUCAAUUUCAGAGGCAAGAUGGACAGCAAUAGUCUCCAGGGUCCUUUCUCCUUCCCUGUGUAUCCCCGUGCUUAUUGGUUCAUUUUACUCCAAGAACACACCUGUCCCCAUUUCUGCUGUUGAUCCGUCGUUUUCCUCUGGUUUCACAGUAAUGGGAUUUC